ACUCCUGCGGGAGGCAGCAGUGGGGAAUAUUGGACAAUGGGCGCAAGCCUGAUCCAGCCAUGCCGCGUGAGUGAUGAAGGCCCUAGGGUUGUAAAGCUCUUUCACCGGUGAAGAUAAUGACGGUAACCGGAGAAGAAGCCCCGGCUAACUUCGUGCCAGCAGCCGCGGUAAUACGAAGGGGGCUAGCGUUGUUCGGAUUUACUGGGCGUAAAGCGCACGUAGGCGGACUAUUAAGUCAGGGGUGAAAUCCCGGGGCUCAACCCCGGAACUGCCUUUGAUACUGGUAGUCUUGAGUUCGAGAGAGGUGAGUGGAAUUCCGAGUGUAGAGGUGAAAUUCGUAGAUAUUCGGAGGAACACCAGUGGCGAAGGCGGCUCACUGGCUCGAUACUGACGCUGAGGUGCGAAAGCGUGGGGAGCAAAUAGGAUUAGAUACCCUGGUAGUCCC
rnacentral:rRNA from 1 species